GGGUUGUGAGGUUAAGCGACUAAGCGUACACGGUGGAUGCCCUGGCAGUCAGAGGCGAUGAAGGACGUGCUAAUCUGCGAUAAGCGUCGGUAAGGUGAUAUGAACCGUUAUAACCGGCGAUUUCCGAAUGGGGAAACCCAGUGUGAUUCGUCACACUAUCAUUAACUGAAUCCAUAGGUUAAUGAGGCGAACCGGGGGAACUGAAACAUCUAAGUACCCCGAGGAAAAGAAAUCAACCGAGAUUCCCCCAGUAGCGGCGAGCGAACGGGGAGCAGCCCAGAGCCUGAAUCAGUGUGUGUGUUAGUGGAAGCGUCUGGAAAGGCGUGCGAUACAGGGUGACAGCCCCGUACACAAAAAUGCACAUAUUGUGAGCUCGAUGAGUAGGGCGGGACACGUGGUAUCCUGUCUGAAUAUGGGGGGACCAUCCUCCAAGGCUAAAUACUCCUGACUGACCGAUAGUGAACCAGUACCGUGAGGGAAAGGCGAAAAGAACCCCGGCGAGGGGAGUGAAAAAGAACCUGAAACCGUGUACGUACAAGCAGUGGGAGCACGCUUAGGCGUGUGACUGCGUACCUUUUGUAUAAUGGGUCAGCGACUUAUAUUCUGUAGCAAGGUUAACCGAAUAGGGGAGCCGAAGGGAAACCGAGUCUUAACUGGGCGUUAAGUUGCAGGGUAUAGACCCGAAACCCGGUGAUCUAGCCAUGGGCAGGUUGAAGGUUGGGUAACACUAACUGGAGGACCGAACCGACUAAUGUUGAAAAAUUAGCGGAUGACUUGUGGCUGGGGGUGAAAGGCCAAUCAAACCGGGAGAUAGCUGGUUCUCCCCGAAAGCUAUUUAGGUAGCGCCUCGUGAAUUCAUCUCCGGGGGUAGAGCACUGUUUCGGCAAGGGGGUCAUCCCGACUUACCAACCCGAUGCAAACUGCGAAUACCGGAGAAUGUUAUCACGGGAGACACACGGCGGGUGCUAACGUCCGUCGUGAAGAGGGAAACAACCCAGACCGCCAGCUAAGGUCCCAAAGUCAUGGUUAAGUGGGAAACGAUGUGGGAAGGCCCAGACAGCCAGGAUGUUGGCUUAGAAGCAGCCAUCAUUUAAAGAAAGCGUAAUAGCUCACUGGUCGAGUCGGCCUGCGCGGAAGAUGUAACGGGGCUAAACCAUGCACCGAAGCUGCGGCAGCGACGCUUAUGCGUUGUUGGGUAGGGGAGCGUUCUGUAAGCCUGUGAAGGUGUGCUGUGAGGCAUGCUGGAGGUAUCAGAAGUGCGAAUGCUGACAUAAGUAACGAUAAAGCGGGUGAAAAGCCCGCUCGCCGGAAGACCAAGGGUUCCUGUCCAACGUUAAUCGGGGCAGGGUGAGUCGACCCCUAAGGCGAGGCCGAAAGGCGUAGUCGAUGGGAAACAGGUUAAUAUUCCUGUACUUGGUGUUACUGCGAAGGGGGGACGGAGAAGGCUAUGUUGGCCGGGCGACGGUUGUCCCGGUUUAAGCGUGUAGGCUGGUUUUCCAGGCAAAUCCGGAAAAUCAAGGCUGAGGCGUGAUGACGAGGCACUACGGUGCUGAAGCAACAAAUGCCCUGCUUCCAGGAAAAGCCUCUAAGCAUCAGGUAACAUCAAAUCGUACCCCAAACCGACACAGGUGGUCAGGUAGAGAAUACCAAGGCGCUUGAGAGAACUCGGGUGAAGGAACUAGGCAAAAUGGUGCCGUAACUUCGGGAGAAGGCACGCUGAUAUGUAGGUGAAGUCCCUUGCGGAUGGAGCUGAAAUCAGUCGAAGAUACCAGCUGGCUGCAACUGUUUAUUAAAAACACAGCACUGUGCAAACACGAAAGUGGACGUAUACGGUGUGACGCCUGCCCGGUGCCGGAAGGUUAAUUGAUGGGGUCAGCGCAAGCGAAGCUCUUGAUCGAAGCCCCGGUAAACGGCGGCCGUAACUAUAACGGUCCUAAGGUAGCGAAAUUCCUUGUCGGGUAAGUUCCGACCUGCACGAAUGGCGUAAUGAUGGCCAGGCUGUCUCCACCCGAGACUCAGUGAAAUUGAACUCGCUGUGAAGAUGCAGUGUACCCGCGGCAAGACGGAAAGACCCCGUGAACCUUUACUAUAGCUUGACACUGAACAUUGAGCCUUGAUGUGUAGGAUAGGUGGGAGGCUUUGAAGUGUGGACGCCAGUCUGCAUGGAGCCGACCUUGAAAUACCACCCUUUAAUGUUUGAUGUUCUAACGUGGACCCGUGAUCCGGGUUGCGGACAGUGUCUGGUGGGUAGUUUGACUGGGGCGGUCUCCUCCUAAAGAGUAACGGAGGAGCACGAAGGUUGGCUAAUCCUGGUCGGACAUCAGGAGGUUAGUGCAAUGGCAUAAGCCAGCUUGACUGCGAGCGUGACGGCGCGAGCAGGUGCGAAAGCAGGUCAUAGUGAUCCGGUGGUUCUGAAUGGAAGGGCCAUCGCUCAACGGAUAAAAGGUACUCCGGGGAUAACAGGCUGAUACCGCCCAAGAGUUCAUAUCGACGGCGGUGUUUGGCACCUCGAUGUCGGCUCAUCACAUCCUGGGGCUGAAGUAGGUCCCAAGGGUAUGGCUGUUCGCCAUUUAAAGUGGUACGCGAGCUGGGUUUAGAACGUCGUGAGACAGUUCGGUCCCUAUCUGCCGUGGGCGCUGGAGAACUGAGGGGGGCUGCUCCUAGUACGAGAGGACCGGAGUGGACGCAUCACUGGUGUUCGGGUUGUCAUGCCAAUGGCACUGCCCGGUAGCUAAAUGCGGAAGAGAUAAGUGCUGAAAGCAUCUAAGCACGAAACUUGCCCCGAGAUGAGUUCUCCCUGACCCUUUAAGGGUCCUGAAGGAACGUUGAAGACGACGACGUUGAUAGGCCGGGUGUGUAAGCGCAGCGAUGCGUUGAGCUAACCGGUACUAAUGAACCGUGAGGCUUAACCUUACAACGCCGAAG
rnacentral:rRNA from 1 species